rnacentral:rRNA from 1 species
AGUGAACGCUGGCGGUAGGCCUAACACAUGCAAGUCGAACGGCAGCACAGUAAGAGCUUGCUCUUACGGGUGGCGAGUGGCGGACGGGUGAGGAAUACAUCGGAAUCUACUUUUUCGUGGGGGAUGACGUAGGGAAACUUACGCUAAUACCGCAUACGACCUACGGGUGAAAGCAGGGGAUCUUCGGACCUUGCGCGAUUGAAUGAGCCGAUGUCGGAUUAGCUAGUUGGCGGGGUAAAGGCCCACCAAGGCGACGAUCCGUAGCUGGUCUGAGAGGAUGAUCAGCCACACUGGAACUGAGACACGGUCCAGACUCCUACGGGAGGCAGCAGUGGGGAAUAUUGGACAAAGGGCGCAAGCCUGAUCCAGCCAUACCGCGUGGGUGAAGAAGGCCUUCGGGUUGUAAAGCCCUUUUGUUGGGAAAGAAAAGCAGCAGGUUAAUACCCCGCUGUUCUGACGGUACCCAAAGAAUAAGCACCGGCUAACUUCGUG